GACGAACGCUGGCGGCGUGCUUAACACAUGCAAGUCGAGCGAGGCCCAAGCAGUGGCAACACUGUGGAAGGCCUAGCGGCGAACGGGUGAGUAACACGUGAGCAACCUGCCCCGAAGUCUGGAAUAACACCGGGAAACCGGUGCUAAUGCCGGAUGCCCCCACGGGCCGCAUGACCUGGUGAGGAAAGGCCAUGCCUGAUAAGUAUGGGUGCUUCGGGAGGGGCUCGCGGGCUAUCAGCUAGUUGGUGAGGUAACGGCUCACCAAGGCGUCGACGGCUAGCUGGUCUGAGAGGACGACCAGCCACACUGGGACUGAGACACGGCCCAGACUCCUACGGGAGGCAGCAGUGGGGAAUAUUGGACAAUGGGCGCAAGCCUGAUCCAGCGAUGCCGCGUGUGUGAAGAAGGCCUGCGGGUUGUAAAGCACUUUUAGUAGGGAAGAAAGCCGAGUGCUAAUAUCACUCGGUCUUGACGUUACUUACAGAAGAA
rnacentral:rRNA from 1 species